rnacentral:rRNA from 1 species
GAUGAACGCUGGCGGCGUGCCUAAUACAUGCAAGUCGAGCGAACAGACGAGGAGCUUGCUCCUCUGACGUUAGCGGCGGACGGGUGAGUAACACGUGGAUAACCUACCUAUAAGACUGGGAUAACUUCGGGAAACCGGAGCUAAUACCGGAUAAUCUAUUGAACCGCAUGGUUCAAUAGUGAAAGACGGUUUUGCUGUCACUUAUAGAUGGAUCCGCGCCGGAUUGGCUGGUUGGUGAGUUAACGGGUUACCAAGGGGACGAUGCGUAUCCGACCUGGUUGGGUGAGCGGCCACACUGGAACUGAGACACGAUCCAGACUCCUACGGGAGGCAGCAGUAGGGAAUCUUCCGCAAUGGGCGAAAGCCUGACGGAGCAACGCCGCGUGAGUGAUGAAGGUCUUCGGAUCGUAAAACUCUGUUAUUAGGGAAGAACAAAUGUGUAAGUAACUAUGCACGUCUUGACGGUACCUAAUCAGAAAGCCACGGCUAACUACGUG